rnacentral:rRNA from 1 species
GGGAAAGUUGGUUAUAAUAUAUAAUGAAAGUUAUUUAGCGUGAGUAGGUUAGUUUGAAAUAUGGUAGUAGUAAAGAGUACUGUAAAGGGGGUUUAAUUAUAAAAAAGAUUUUAUUAUUAAAUUACCUUUUGUAUUAGGGAUAUUUAAAAUAAAAGUUUAGAUAAGCUAUCCCGAAUUGCUUGUGGGCUAACUAAGAUUUGUAUUAUUGUUGCAUAAAUAUGAAUAAUUUUUAGUUAGGGAUGAAAUAUUAGUCAAACGGCGGGAUAUCUGGUUUUCUUAUAAGUAAAUUGAAUUUAUAGAGUAAUUAAUUCUUAAAGUAUUGUUAGGAUUAGCUAAUAAUGGGUCAAUAUUAUGGGGGUAAGUUCUCUUAGGUAGAUUUAAUAAUGAUUAUUGAUUAAAUUUUGUUAUUAUUUAGGUGGGAAAGUUAAUUAUUAAAAUAUUAUUUGAGGAGUAUGAGAAUAUGAGAUAAAGUAAGUUAUUUACAGAAAUAUUGAAUAUAUUAGUAGUUUAUGGUGUGUUUAGUUUAAUGGGCAUGAGAAGAGAGUUAAUGAAAAAUUAGGUGUUGUUAAGGAACUCGGCAUAGUAAUCUUGCCUGUUUAAUAAAAACAUGGUUCUUCGGGCUUUAAUGGAGAAUCUGGCCUGCCCACUGAAUUAUAUUAAAGGGCUGCAGUAUUUUGACUGUACAAAGGUAGCAUAAUCAUUAGUCUUUUAAUUGAAGACUGGAAUGAAUGGUUUGACAGGGUUACACUGUCUCAAUAAUAGAAAGUUAAUUUUACAUCCUUGUGAAAAGGCAAGGAUAAUUUAUAGGGACGAGAAGACCCUAUAAAACUUGAUUUUAAUAAAUAUAUUACUUAGAAGAUUAAUUUAAUAUAUUCGUUAAGGGUUUGCUGGGGCGGUAUUUAUUUUACAUAAAUUUGAUGAAAUAUUGAUGAUUAGCUUAGUAAUUGAUCCGGUAUUUUGGCCGAUAAUAAGAAGAAGUUACUUUAGGGAUAACAGCGUAAUGAUUUCUGAGAGUUCUUAUUGACGAAAUUGUUUGCGACCUCGAUGUUGGAUUAAGGAUUCUUUUUGGCGCAGUUGUUAAUAAAGAUAGUCUGUUCGACUAUUAAAUCCUUACAUGAUCUGAGUUUAAACCGGUGUGAGCCAGGUUGGUUUUUAUCUUUUAUUAAUGAAACAGAAGUGGUAGUACGAAAGGACCCCAUUGUUUCUCAAAUGGUUUGUAUAAAAAGUUAUAGGUGGUUGAAUUAGAAGAUGAUAACUGAGAUUAAGUUGAGGAUUUUCAAAUGUAAGUGAG